GGACAAGUGGCUCUGGACAGAGCAGUGGCAAUUUAAUGAGUAGAAAUCCUCCAUGUUCUAUUUUUAGGCCUGCCAACCCAGAGGGAGAGCUUCACAUCAGACCUCCCAACAUACUGUAGCUGGAAGUCAGUAAGGAUUCC
rnacentral:lncRNA from 1 species